rnacentral:rRNA from 1 species
AUGGUGAAUGGUCAGAAUCCUAAAUGGAUUGCUCCGCCUGCUCGGAGUGUUAAAAUUCAUGUCGAUGCCGCUGUGGGCAGAAACAGCGACAUUGGGGCUUUGGCAGUAAUCUGUCGAGACGAGGCUGGUGCUUACUUGGGCGCUUCUGCUAUUACUUGUCAGGAUUUGGUAGAUCCAGAAAUCCUAGAAGCAAUGGCGAGCUUGGAGGCCUUAUCAUUAGCUGCUGAUUUGGGCUGUCAGCGAAUUGUUGUUGCUACAAACUGUAUGGCAACGAUCACACAUCUGAAGUGUGAAUACAAGGGACCCUCAGCAGUAACGAUCCAAGAUAUUAAGCAAAGGAUGCAAGACUUCACGUCAGUUGAUUUCAUCCAUGAGAAGCGGGAGAUGAACCUUGAAGCUCACAAGCUUUCAAAAGAAGCGACUACUUUAGCUUUUGGCCGCCAUAUUUGGCUUUCUACCUUACCUGACAUUAUUUGUAUCCCAGACCUUGUUGUUAAUUAA